GAUGAACGCUGGCGGCGUGCUUAACACAUGCAAGUCGAGCGAAGCACCUUGAAGUUUUCGGACAGAUGGGUGACUGAGCGGCGGACGGGUGAGUAACGCGUGGGUAACCUGCCUCACACAGGGGGAUAACAGUCAGAAAUGACUGCUAAUACCGCAUAAGCGCACAGUACCGCAUGGUACAGUGUGAAAAAACUCCGGUGGUGUGAGAUGGACCCGCGUCUGAUUAGGUAGUUGGUGGGGUAACGGCCUACCAAGCCGACGAUCAGUAGCCGACCUGAGAGGGUGACCGGCCACAUUGGGACUGAGACACGGCCCAAACUCCUACGGGAGGCAGCAGUGGGGAAUAUCGCACAAUGGGGGAAACCCUGAUGC
rnacentral:rRNA from 1 species